GGUAGCCUAGUGGUUAGAGCUUAGAGGCGGCAGGUAGCCUAGUGGUUAGAGCGUAGAGGCGGCAGGUAGCCUAGUGGUUAGAGCGUAGAGGCGGCAGGUAGCCUAGUGGUUAGAGCGUAGAGGCGGCAGGUAGCCUAGUGGUUAGAGCGUAGAGGCGGCAGGUAGCCUAGUGGUUAGAGCGUAGAGGCGGCAGGUAGCCUAGUGGUUAGAGCGUAGAGGCGGCAGGUAGCCUAGUGGUUAGAGCGUAGAGGCGGCAGGUAGCCUAGUGGUUAGAGCGUAGAGGCGGCAGGUAGCCUAGUGGUUAGAGCGUAGAGGCGGCAGGUAGCCUAGUGGUUAGAGCGUAGAGGCGGCAGGUAGCCUAGUGGUUAGAGCGUAGAGGCGGCAGGUAGCCUAGUGGUUAGAGCGUAGAGGCGGCAGGUAGCCUAGUGGUUAGAGCGUAGAGGCGGCAGGUAGCCUAGUGGUUAGAGCGUGGAGGCGGCAGGUAGCCUAGUGGUUAGAGUGUAGAGGCGGCAGGUAGCCUAGUGGUUAGAGUGUAGAGGCGGCAGGUAGCCUAGUGGUUAGAGUGUAGAGGCGGCAGGGUAGCCUAGUGGUUAGAGUGUAGAGGCGGCAGGUAGCCUAGUGGUUAGAGUGUA